CAAUUUGAAUGAGAAUUAUUCCAUCUCAAAUCUCUCUCGCUAGGAAUCUAUAAAAAGGAGGAGACAACUGGGAGGCGGAGGAGGAAAAAACCCGAAAAGCCACAAAGGUAAAGAAGGACAAUUGUGAGGUUGCAGAGGAAAAAUGAAGCUCAACACCUCUACUCCCUGCGAAGAUAGAAGCAGUCAGAUACAUAUGUUGCAUCUGCAACAAGGCUCCUCUUUUGAAGUCUCCCAUGAUUGGGUAUAAAAUCCACAAAUCAAAUUUUGGGGCUGCAUCCCUUGAAUCAAAAUUUCUUGGAUGUUCAAUCCAUCAUUGGGUAAUAAAUCCUGAAAUCAAAGCAUUGGGUUUUGCACCCCGGAAACAAAGCUUGGGUAUUUCACCCCGAAAACAAAUAUGGGUUUGCACCUUGAAAACAAGUUUGGGUAUUGCACCCUAAAAAUAAAGCCUAGAUGUUUCCCCCUCAAUCAAGGCUUUGGGUUUUA
rnacentral:lncRNA from 1 species